rnacentral:lncRNA from 7 species
AAGUAUUCUCCACCUCAAAGCAGCCUGCAAGAAAACAGAAUGAAGGGCCAGGCCAGUGAUACAAUUACUUUACAUUCAGAAACCAGGAAAAAGACCCAGUGGCUGAGAAACACAGUUCCUCAAAAUUACUGGAUACCCCUACUUGUAGAGAAACGCCAUUCUCUGCCUUGGUGAGAUCUGCCAACAAAGAACAGGUUCUGACCACGAAGACUUAAUGAGUGUAAAACAGCAGUCACAAAUACAUAUCUAUCUCUUGUACACUACAGUGAAACGUCUGGCAACUGCUGACACUGAUGAAAAGUCCUCUUAAGAUAAUGGAUAAACAGAACUGGCAAUACCUAACCGGAAACUAUCUAUUGAGACUGCUAACUGGAUAAGGACUUCAUUGCUACGCUCCACCCCCAACCCAGUAUCUCCUCUUCAGGGAUGAAAUACGACGUGGCCUAUCACGCAAUCAGAAUUUGAGUUGAAAGGGGCUCUUAAAGGCCCUCUGGCCCAACCUCCCUGCAAUGAACAGGGACACCUACAGCUUCAUCAGGCUCUCAGAGCCCCUCCAGCCUGACCUUGGCUGUCUCCAGGGAUGGAGCACCCACCAGUUCUCUAGGCAACCUGUGCCAGUGCCUCAGAUCCUCUGAACCGAGUGUUUCAUGAGUGAGCAGGACUAAGGCUAAGUGGUAAGACAGCGUUCUGCAGCCCAGUGCUCCAGUAUCUGCUGCAGGUAUGCAGUAUCCUGCAGUCAGAUGGCUGUCAGGAAGGAGUACCUACAGAAGGGGAACAGAAUUCCAGCCUCAGAGCUUUUUGUAAUCACAUUGGUAACGUCUGUACGCACAACUUCAAGUUAUUAUUUUAACAAAGAAAAAAGUAUCUAUAAAUAGCAAUCCACACUGAUUAAACUCUGAAUACU